rnacentral:sRNA from 1 species
AAAUAAUAUAUUCUUAGUUACUUUUAAUAAAAUAAAUAGUUCUGCGGUGUACCGCGGGUUAAAAUCUAGUAUUAGAUUAAAACUCUAAGACCAAAACCAAUAUCAUAUGUAAAUCAUCUAUAUAUUAU